rnacentral:lncRNA from 1 species
AUGAUAUUAAUGUAUUGUGUUCUUGAUUAAUAAAUUAUUUUUAUAAUGUAAGAUCGGUUUACUAGGAAGCCAAAUGGUAAGCUUGUAAGUUAAAAUAAUUCACCUUUAAAAUCUUACGAUGUUAAUUUAAUAUUGUUUUCGCUACGGAUCACAUGGAACUCAUUAUUUCCAUUCCCACUUAGAUUAGGAAGAAAAUGAGUAACCGUAGGCUGACCUACCCUUGGAAGUCUAUG